rnacentral:tRNA from 1 species
AAAUAUGAAGUAAAUUUUACAUUUAGUUUCGACCUAAACUUAUGGUGUUAUAUUCACCCUUAUUUA